rnacentral:rRNA from 1 species
CCGCAGCUGCGGUAAUUCCAGCUCCAAUAGCGUACAUUAAAGUUGUUGCAGUUAAAAAGCUCGUAGUUGGAUUUCUGGGAGGGUGCCAAUGUCCGCCGACGUGCGUGUGCAGCGGCGCCCUUCCAUCCUUCUGUUAACGCCUCUUGGCAUUCAUUUGCUGGUGGCGGGCUCAGAUAUUUUACCUUGAGAAAAUUAGAGUGUUUCAGGCAGGCUAGGCCGGAAUACAUUAGCAUGGAAUAAUAGAAUAGGACUACGGUCUCUUUGUUGGUUUGAGGGACUGCAGUAAUGAUUAAUAGGGAUAGUUGGGGGCAUUAGUACUUAACUGUCAGAGGUGGAAUUCUCGGAUUUGUUAAAGACUAACUUAUGCGAAAGCAUCUGCCAAGGAUGUUUUCAUUAAUCAAGAACGAAAGU